rnacentral:lncRNA from 1 species
ACCGACCGAUGACUGCCAAUAGUAGCUGCCGACAUUAUUCGACUGAAGGAGUAUCGACCGGGCAGACCCAUUCUGUUCCCAACCAGCCGAGCGGUGGAGCCCAAAUCACCGACUCACUGUCGGGGGCCGCAGCCGACGUCCGACCUCAGUGAGGCAUUAAACCAGCCGACGGUGUCUCUGGGUCAUUACCCGACGUCCCAACAGCCGAAUACCGACGUAUGGUCGGC